rnacentral:lncRNA from 1 species
UUGCUUGUUCAUAACUACGAAGAGAGUCACCAAGUCGGUCCUUCGGGGGCUGGGAGGGGGUGAGGAGGGAGGCAGCGCUGGGUGGGAGGAAACCACUCUGAUGACAACUCUUUGCUAAAUGAUGGCUGGAAAACACUGGAUUAUAUUUCCCAGCCGGUAUAAAUUCCUAAAGGGGGCCAUUCCCCCGAGGCCUGCCUCCCCCAGACGGAAACAGAAUCUGCGACCCUGAAUGAAAUGUCUCAGGCCCCUGCGAAGGGGAGAGGGCAGGAAAUGAAGAGAAGUGAUCACUCUUCUGAAACACACUUUUUUUUUUUUUUUAAAAAUAAUGAAAAGAAAAGCAUUUGCAAAGGUGCAUGAAUCCAAGCGUGUUACUCCCGACACGUUGGGUUUGCACGUGCGCUUGCCUUUUUGGAAUGUUUCCAGUUCACCGCAGCCCUGGGAGGUGAGCGAGGCCUCCGCCAAUCUCUGCACCUGAGAGACGAGGACACUGAAGUGAAUGACUCAGAGCGCAGGUGGCCCCGCUGGGAGACGUGGAGCAGCGUGUUCCAGCAGUCUGUCAUGACCGUAUAUUUACCGGGCACCUCCUUGGUGCCCAGAGCUGGGCUGUGGGCAAGGACGUUGAGGUGGCUGCUGUCUAGCCGUGGAUACACACGCCUCAUUUCAGUGGAACGGUCCAGAACAGCCCAGUGUGAGCUGCAGUCCUUCAGCCUGGAGCUCUGAGCAGGGAGCCAUGAGGCUGGCUGGAGUGGGAAGACAGGCAGGGCCUCUUGAAGGAGGUGACCUUCCUUCCCGAACUAGGGCUCUUUCCAUCAAAGCCCAUCGAAUGCAGCCUGAACGGUGGCAUAGAGCAGUGGAAGCUAGCUGUGAGAGCCUGGGUAAGGCCCUGCACUUUCCUGAGCCUCAGUUUCCCCAUCUGUCCAAUGGGAAUAGCAUAGUGGAUAGAUCACUGGCCCUGGAGGCAUGUAAUGGCUGGUGAUGUCGCUGAGGCCUCAUCUUUAAAUUGCUGCUGUUGUGAGGCUGGAGCGCAGGCAGUGGUGGUUCAGCCACCAGCUGAAGCAGCUGAUGGCAGGGGGCCCUCAUCUCAACACAAUUCUCGCGCUUACACUCUCGCAGGCACCUCCGCAUCGUGCUCGUGAACGGCCACAAGAUUCAUUUCUGGAGGAAGCCCGUAAGAGAGAGCCAGCUAUUUGUGUUAGAACUGAAACAAAGAGAAAACCAAGAUGCAGGGAAAGUGCUGCUGCUU